rnacentral:ncRNA from 1 species
UAAAUAUCAAAAUUUGAUUCUGGUUUUAAAAAAUUAUUUUAAGAAUAGUAUAUAAUAUGUAAGUAUUUGCGUGAUCUAUUAAUUCUUUAAAAAAGUAUUUAAUAAUUUAUUAAUAAUCGCAGUUUUUAUUUUUAUAUAUUUAAUAAUUUAAGAUGUAGCUAAUUUUUUUAUAAAACUAGCAAAAAUUGUGCCAGCAGCUGCGGUUACACAAUUAGUUAUAAUUAUUUUUAUUAGAAUAUUAUUAGUUUAAUAUAGAUUGAUUUAUAAUUUUAAUUUUAUUCUUAGGUGAAAUUUGAAUUUUAACUUAUAAAUUAGGUCAGUAAAUUAUUAUAGGAAAUUCUUAUUAAGGACUAGGAUUAGAUACCCUAUUAUUUUGAAUGUAAAAAGUUCUUCUUAUUAUUAAUAGUUAUUAUCUUUAAACUGAAAGAAUUUGACGGUAAUUUAAUCAUUUUAGAGGAACCUGUUCUGUAAUUGAUAAUCCACGAUAAAUGUUACCUUAAUAAUGUUUGUAUAUCUCUGUCUGUUGAAUGUUUUAUUAGAAAAUUUUCUUUAAUUUUUAUAGAAAUUUAUGUCAGGUCAAGGUGCAGCUAUUUUAAGGGUUGAAAUGGGUUACAUUUAAUAAUAUAAAUUAUUGGAUUAUUAAAUAUUUUCUUAGUAUGAAAUUGGAUUUAAUUGUAAUGUAUAAUAUAUAUUAUUCAUGAUAUAUGUUCUUGAUUAAGUACAUAUCGCCCGUCGCUCUCAUAAUUAAAGUGAGAUAAGUCGUAACAAAGUAGUCCUAUCGGAAGAUGGGUCUGGAAUUAUA